GCAAGAUAUAGUUUAGACAAGAAGACAUUAGAUUGUGAGUCUAAACAUAGAAGUUCAACCCUUCUUAUAUGCC
rnacentral:tRNA from 1 species